UGGGAACAUAUGGCAGUUGAACUCAUCUUCAGCAUCCAUGCAGUCGACGAUUUUGUCGCAGCGUCUUUUCGCCGAAUAACACUUCCGCGAUCCACUGUGACAGUAGUAUCCAGGACACCGUGCAAGCGCGGGUCCUGUUUAUCCACUCAACAAAUCGGCUCACUUUUGUGUAUGCACCAGGCUCGUUUGGACGUGCGCAACCUUCUCCGUGACUCACAAUUCCCGCUACGUACCAUUGAGACGGUGAAUUCGGAUUCCUGGUUAAAUCACAGUAUCAAAUUAACACCACGGUUUCAGUGCUAAAGCGACAAGAACUGACAUACCUGCACAUGAGUGGACCGCCACUGUCACCUUGGCACGUAUCCCGCCCGCCUGAUGGUAAUCCUGCACAGAUUUCCGCCUCGUUCUGAUCGGCCGGGUAUUUGCAGUUCCGCAAAAUUGGUCCGUGCUCAACUAGUGAUCCCCAGCCUGCGGUAACGCAGGUUGCGUCCGGGGUUGGUCCUGUUCUCCAGUGCGCUCCAGCUGUCGUGAUUUCUGGGAGACAAGCCGGUCUGACCCAACGGUUAAAGUGCAGAGGUGCUUCCAGACGUAGGAGGGCUAAGUCGUUCUUCAUGACCGUUCUGUCAUAAGUCGGGUACAUCACAACGUGGCUAACUUUACGGGAUUGCUCCAUCGCUCCAGUCAGCUCGCGCUGUCCAGCACCAAAUGCAGUAACUAACCGGGGAAAUUCAAAGAGCGAAACUAUAGCGAUCAGAUUUCAAACAAGUCAGCAAUUACUCGGAGGUCAUAGACAGCGGAAUUCCAACACAGGGUACGGGUUGGAUGUAGUAUAUUUUAAAGUAGGUAGGUGUUACCGCGAGCCUCCGAGAGAGUAGAAUUUUGCGUAAUAUCACAGCGUGAUAUUUGUGCAUGCCAUUAGUAAUUUGACGCUGUGUCUUAAUAAAGCAAUACUAACAGGCUUGCAUACUCUUAAUAAAAACCUAAGACGUAUACAUAUUUCGGAUACGUCGGAAUAUUUGUCAACUUCAAAUUGUACAUUACACGAUUAUUUUUAAUAUUUUUCGAGAUACAUGACACUUCUACCUCGACGGCAAAUCGUACAGCGCGGCAAUGUACAAAAUACGAGGCUAACAGCAGCGCAUGGUGGUGCUCAUGAAGGCGAAUGGAACAAUUUCGAAUGCGGAGAGUCAACUUAUUGGUACCGGAGAAGCAGGCUAAGAACGUUCAAGUGAUGGUGAGAAUUCCGCCUGUCGAUACGUAUAGAAAAACCACAGCAUCCAGAGAAUGACGAAUUGUGAGAGUGAAUUAUUGAUGUAGAUACUAAUGAAUCGAAUGUAAUUGUCAAGUGAUUUGAUUUCUAUGUGAAUCUUGU